AGUCGAACGGUAACAGGCAGAGCUUGCUCUGUGCUGACGAGUGGCGGACGGGUGCGUAACACGUAGGAAUCUGCCUAGUAGUUGGGGAUAGCCCGGAGAAAUCCGGAUUAAUACCGAAUACGAUCUACGGAUGAAAGGGGGCCUCUUCUUGAAAGCUCUCGCUAUUAGAUGAGCCUGCGUCGGAUUAGCUAGUUGGUGGGGUAAAGGCCUACCAAGGCAACGAUCCGUAGCUGGUCUGAGAGGACGAUCAGCCACACUGGGACUGAGACACGGCCCAGACUCCUACGGGAGGCAGCAGUGGGGAAUAUUGGACAAUGGGCGCAAGCCUGAUCCAGCAAUGCCGCGUGUGUGAAGAAGGCCUGCGGGUUGUAAAGCACUUUCAAUUGUGAAGAAAUGCUUAAGGUUAAUAACCUUGAGUCUUGACGUUAACUUUAGAAGAAGCACCGGCUAACCCUGUGCCAGCAGCCGCGGUAAUACAGGGGGUGCGAGCGUUAAUCGGAAUUACUGGGCGUAAAGAGUACGUAGGCGGUUACUUAAGUCAGAUGUGAAAGCCCCGGGCUCAACCUGGGAACUGCAUUUGAAACUGAGUGACUAGAGUUUAAGAGAGGGGAGUAGAAUUCCGGGUGUAGCGGUGAAAUGCGUAGAGAUCCGGAGGAAUACCAGUGGCGAAGGCGGCUCCCUGGCUUAGAACUGACGCUGAGGUACGAAAGCGUGGGUAGCAAACAGGAUUAGAUACCCUGGUAGUCCACGCCGUAAACGAUGUCAACUAGCUGUUGGGUCCAUUUAAGGAUUUAGUAGCGCAGCUAACGCAAUAAGUUGACCGCCUGGGGAGUACGGCCGCAAGGCUAAAACUC
rnacentral:rRNA from 1 species